UCUGUUCAGCCUUAUGUAUGGAGUUGAGGAUUCGUCAAUUGCAGGGAUGAUUUUAGAUAGUCCAUUCUCUGAUUUGGUUGAUUUGAUGAUGGAACUUGUAGAUACAUAUAAAGUUCGUCUUCCAAAGUUCACUGUAAAGUUUGCAAUCCAAUACAUGCGAAGAGCAAUUCAAAAG